rnacentral:rRNA from 1 species
CUGGCGGCGUGCCUAACACAUGCAAGUCGAACGAAGCACUGCGGAUGGAGAUACGUCAAAAUCUGCUUGACUUAGUGGCGGACGGGUGAGUAAUGUGUGAGCAACCUGCCUUUCAGAGGGGGACAACAGUUGGAAACGACUGCUAAUACCGCAUAAUGUAUUGGGAGGGCAUCCUUUUGAUACCAAAGGAGCAAUCCGCUGAAAGAUGGGCUCACAUCUGAUUUAGCUAGUUGGUGGGGGUAACGGCCUACCAAGGCUGCGAUCAGUAGCCGGACUGAGAGGUUGAACGGCCACAUUGGGACUGAGAUACGGCCCAGACUCCUACGGGAGGCAGCAGUGGGGAAUAUUGGGCAAUGGGCGAAAGCCUUCGACCCAGCAACGCCGCGUGAAGGAAGAAGGUCUUCGGAUUGUAAACUUCUUUUAUGAGGGACGAAGGACGUGACGGUACCUCAUGAAUAAGCCACGGCUAACUACGUGCCAGCAGCAGC